rnacentral:lncRNA from 1 species
CACCAGGAAUUCCACAUGAACACGGGCACUCUUAUCAUCUUCUUGCUGAAUAAUUACAUCGUUAUGUUAAUGUUAUUAGUGCCUAGGUGAACUGGCUCGCUGAUGUGCAGAUACUAGUAUCACAACAGAAUAGCCACAACUGGUGACCUUGUGGUAGUCGAUAUGCGGUUGGUUACGCUGUGACUUAUGAGCGAGUUUUGGGAGUUUCUAUCAGUUUAGUAUUUGACACCUUGGUUUUUGCAGCCAGCCUUGUCUUUUGUUUGCCAUGCUUUCCCUUCAGCUUUUUUCUGCCAAUCUGAGAGCAGCAUUUCAUCAUCAGCUGCUGCCACCUUCUCUCCUUGCUAACUCCCUUUGUAACCUUUGCUUUGUUCAGUUCCUCCUAUCCCACAUCUUCGGCAUUUUCUGUGCAAAAAAUAAUUAAUUU